rnacentral:rRNA from 1 species
GACGAACGCUGGCGGCGUGCUUAACACAUGCAAGUCGAACGGAAAGGCCCUGCUUUUGUGGGGUGCUCGAGUGGCGAACGGGUGAGUAACACGUGAGUAACCUGCCCUUGACUUUGGGAUAACUUCAGGAAACUGGGGCUAAUACCGGAUAGGAGCUCCUGCUGCAUGGUGGGGGUUGGAAAGUUUCGGCGGUUGGGGAUGGACUCGCGGCUUAUCAGCUUGUUGGUGGGGUAGUGGCUUACCAAGGCUUUGGCGGGUAGCCGGCCUGAGAGGGUGACCGGCCACAUUGGGACUGAGAUACGGCCCAGACUCCUACGGGAGGCAGCAGUGGGAAAUAUUGCACGAUGGGCGGAAGCCUGAUGCAGCAACGCCGCGUGCGGGAUGACGGCCUUCGGGUUGUAAACCGCUUUCGCCUGUGACGAAGCGUGAGUGACGGUAAUGGGUAAAGAAGCACCGGCUAACUACGUG